AUCCUUGCAAUGUGUUCCUUGCACCGGUCCCCUAAGUCCCUCCCGCGCUAGCCGCCCAGCCCCGCCCCUCCCGGGCCCUGCCCCUCCAGACCCCGCCCUUCCCCGCCCCGCCCCUCUCUCGCCCGGGCCCCACCCCUUCCCGGGCCCCACUCCUGGGGCGCACCUUGCGCCCACCCGCCUCAGUCGCCGCCGGCCAUUCGGCGUCCCGGCGGUUUCCUGCUCCGCCCUGUCCCUCCGCGCGGGCGCUCGCCUUCCCCGCCUCGCAGGCCUCACUCGGUUCAGGGCGGUUGGGCCGCACGCCUGUCGGGGCGGGGCUGGAGCGGGGGACCGAGCCAAUGGGGCGCGGCGGCGGCGGCGGUGGCUGUUGCUGUGGCGGCUGUGUCCGACCCAGACGGGCUGAGAUGGAGCCGGAGGGAGAUGGAGGGAGGCGGAGGGAGGCGGCGGGAGGCAGUGUCGGCGGCAGCGGCGUAGGGAGGAAGGUGGCGGCGCCUGUCCUGCUGAGGGUGUGGGUGCAUGCAGUGUGCGCCGCCGCCGGGAUCCAGCUCUCCAUCUGCGCCUACCAUGUGGAGCUGGAGAAGAAGCGGGACCACCGGCCCUCUGCGACCUGGGACCCUGGAUGAAGUGCUCCGCUGCGCUUGCCUCCAGGUGCUGUUACCCUUUGCUGUGAUGGGGAGUAUGGAUGAAGUGAAAGUUGUAGAAAGGAUGGUCAGAGGCCAUCACUACCCUUGGGGAGUUUUGCAAGCUCUGAGAUAUGCUUCUUUGUACCAAUAUGGAAAAUGUAAAAGAAAAAACCCACACUCAGCACUAUGA
rnacentral:lncRNA from 1 species